GAUGAACGCUGGCGGCGUGCCUAAUACAUGCAAGUCGAGCGAACAGACGCUGCUCUUGCUCCUCUCACGUUAGCGGCAGACGUGUGAGUCACACGUGUAUACCCUCCCUAUCUGACUGGUAUAACUACGAGAAACCGGAUCUAAUACCGGAUAAUCUCUUGCUCCGCAUGGUUCAAUAGUGAAAGACGGUUUUGCUGGCACUGAUAGAGGGAUCCCGGCCGCAUUAGCUAGUUGGUAAGGUAACAGCUUACCAAGGCGACGAUGCGUAGCCGAACUGUGAGGGUGAUAGGCGGCACGGGAACGUGGACAGGGACCAGACUCCUACGGGAGGCAGCAGUAGGGAAUCUUACGCAAUGGGCGAAAGCCUGGCGGAGCAACGCCGAGCGUGUGAUGAAGGUCUUCGGUUCGUAAAACUCUGUUAUUAGUGAAGAACAAAUGUGUAAGUAACUAUGGACGUCUUGACGGUACCUAGUCAGAAAGCAACGGCUAACUACGUG
rnacentral:rRNA from 1 species